GUUACAGUUAAAUAUAACUGCUAAAAACGAAAACAACUCUUACGCUUUAGCUGCCUAAAAACAGUUAGCGUAGAUCCUCUCGGCAUCGCCCAUGUGCUCGAGUAAGGGUCUCAAAUUUAGUGGGAUACGUUAAACUUUUCCGUCUGUAAAGUUUAAAAGAGAUUAUCAGACUAGCAAUACAGAAUGCCUGUCACUCGGCAAGCUGUAAAGCGAAACCUCAAAUGAGUUGACUAUGAACGUAGAUUUUUAAGUGUCGAUGUGUUUGGACGCGGGUUCGACUCCCGCCGUCUCCAUAU
rnacentral:tmRNA from 1 species